AAAAUGGCCGGCCAUUUGGUAAUACAAAUCUUUUUAAGGAUCGGCGAUGGGAGAAGCCGAUGAUUGCUCUAACAGACCAGCUCGGAUUUUUGAUUUGCAGAAUUCAAGAGGGCUUAUGGCCGGCUAAUUUCGCAAUCCAGGUUUAGCAUCGAUGGGUCCCGGUCUCUGGAUUUAGUUACAUGUGGUGUAGCGUGGUUAGUUCAUGGCCGACCUUUUUGCCGCCGUUUGGAGCCUUGUGGAUUGGAAUCAAGCGGUGGGUGCGGCUUCCUCAUAUUUUGGCGGGGUCUUCCAAAGCAUUGGAGGAGGAGAUGCUCGUUGGAGCUCCGCUUUGUCCCAUUUGGACAUGGGGAAUGAUUCUUCUUCUUUUUUUUUUUAAUCUUUUCCUUUAUCGUUCUUUUCUUUUUUUAUAAUCUUCAAUCUUGUUUCCCCCUUGGUGGGAUGGGGACGAGUCUUUAGUAGCAUGAAAGGGCUUCGAGGAGUUUAAGGUCUAGUCAGAAGGAAAUUUGAAAAACUCUCUGUAAUUGGUUGAUUUCUCAAGUUAUCCGUGAAAUUUCGAUGUAGUUGGUACGACUGUUAACUUAAUUGUCAAAUAAUUCGUUGAUAAAUUAUCAACAC